rnacentral:lncRNA from 10 species
UGCUGCAGUGUUUCCUCCAACAGGCUUUCCCUAAAUGAACCCUGAUGGCUACAGCACUUGCCACUAGGAGUGAUCCCAGGAAACAAACCAUCAAGGAUGGGAUUUGGAUGUCGGUUGUCUGGCGUGCAGUGAGGAUCUCAUUACCAGUGGAAAAUGGGAGUCUGGUAGUGCCUGAGAUGCAGUGGCACCAACGUUACUUAAAUUAGUGCCUGUGGCUGUCUGGGAUGAAAUGCCAACUAAAGGCAACAUUUCAGGUGGACCAUGUGGCUGCUCAUUGAACUAUUAUGGUGGUGUUGAUGACUCCUUUACUGAAACCCCAGGGCUUGUCUGGGGAAGGGUUUGUCAUUGAGUGUGGGAGUGACGGAAGAGGAAGGCAGGUGAAGAGGCUGAAAGGGUCAGAGCCAGAAUGGGAAAGGUGAUUAGUACCCACAGGUAGGGGUAAGACUCAUUCUUGCGGGUAGCAGAGAGAUAUUGCAGGCAGACUAGUUAGAGAGGCAGCCUGGGCUGGGGAAAGAGCUGGGGCCAGCAGAUCAGGAACACAGCCACACUCUACCUCUUUCUAGCUGUGUGACCUUGGCCAGGGCACUUACCUCUCUGAGCCCUCCUUGGCAGCUGGGUGGGGCCAUAGCACCCUGCUCAGACAGCUAUCAGGAGGAUUAGAGGAGACGAUGUAUGGAAAGUGGUUCUUAGUGAAUAUCAAAAACGGCCGUGACUGUCAUUGUUGCUGUCAUCAUGGAAGCAGUCCUGGGAGGCAGACCUCCUCCUCCUCAUCCUCUCCCAGCUCCCAGGCACUCUCUGCAGCCCCACCCUGCUGGGGCUGCUCCUGUUCAUGAGUCCUGAGAAGUGGCUGGUUUAGCAGAGCCAGUUCCUGGAGACGAAAGAAAGAAGGGCCAGGGGUGGGUGUAGGUAACUGUUCUGGGCUCCAGGAAAGAGCCUGGGGAGAAGCUGCUGGCAGAGGCCAACAUUCAUCCUGAAAUAGUUUGUCAAACUGCUGGCUGACAGCAGAGCUGGCCAGAGAUCCCAGGUUUCUCCACCUGUCACUACCCGGCCGUGGGGACUUGUGCAAAAGCCCCCUGGAAAAGAGGGAGGUUGGAGUAAUGGCCACCAACGCGGCCACCUAAUGGCGGUUCCCAGACAUUUUCAUAGACUGCCAGCCUCUUCCAAAUCCAGUUCCUGGAUUUGGGAGCCAGAUCCUAAUUGGUUGGGCACCAUGUCUCACCAACCAGACCAUGAGCCCCAGCCCAGAGCCUGGCCUUCAAGCUUUCAUUCUCUUCAUCCACACAGUCCUGUGGCUGGUGGCUGAUCCCACUGGAGGGAGGCCUGCCUGGCACAGUGCCCCCUGAGCUGCUCUGGCCGUGUCAUGCAACAGCUGGUGAGGAUGAGUGACCAUCCACCAUUAGGGGUAGGACCACCUUUCCAGAUCCUUCACACUCCAGAGCUGGAGACGACGUCCAGACCACCGAGUCGCAGCCCUUCCCAGUUCAUGGAUCUGCCCAGAGGAGCCAGAAUCAGAGCAAAGACCACAGCCCAGGGCUCCAGACCCCCGAUCCAGUGUUCGCCCCACCACGCUUCCCUGACCCCACUUGUCCUUUCACCCUCAUGCUGGUUUAGACACAGCCCCAGACAGCAGCUUCCAUUGUGGUCAGGUGCGCGUCUCAUUCAUGGUGUGACGUCUGGUUUUUAUUUAAAUGAACAGCAAGGGGAGGUCAAAUUACAGUCCAUGGAGAUGAGAGCGUCUCGUGAGGUGAGGUGAAUUUGCCCCACUCCUGUACUUCUCCAUCAAUUCUGAAGCAAAAACUCAAGGGCAAUUAGAUUUUACAUAUUUUCCUUUUUAUACUUCAAUAAAUAUCUC